rnacentral:rRNA from 1 species
CCGGCUAACUACGUGCCAGCAGCCGCGGUAAUACGUAGGGUGCGAGCGUUAAUCGGAAUUACUGGGCGUAAAGCGUGCGCAGGCGGUUUUGUAAGUCAGAUGUGAAAUCCCCGAGCUCAACUUGGGAACUGCGUUUGAAACUGCAUGGCUAGAGUAUGGCAGAGGGGGGUAGAAUUCCACGUGUAGCAGUGAAAUGCGUAGAUAUGUGGAGGAAUACCAAUGGCGAAGGCAGCCCCCUGGACUAAUACUGACGCUCAUGCACG